CUUUUCCUUGGAGUUUUUUGUUUUUUUGUUUGUUUUUUGAUUUUUGUCUCCUGACACUUGGUUGGUUGAUGGAUGGAUGGCUUGAUGCUCCUCCACAAUUAAAAAAAUAAAGUCAAAAAAUCCUGAAAAUUUUGUGUUU
rnacentral:ribozyme from 1 species